AGAAAAGCUCGUGUAGGAAGGAAUUGAUCCAGCCACAGAGCCACGGACACCUUCUGUGGGGUAUUUGCUCCUGUGAGCCCUCCUGCAGUCCAGUUUUGGGUUGCAGAUCAGAACUAGAGGUUUCCAGCUCCUGAAACUGCUGAUUGCCUUUUCCAGCUUGUGGGAGUCUCUGAAGUGCUGAAAAGAGCUGCUUGGAGGAUAUUCAUAAAAUCAGAACAUCCUGAGGUGGAGGGGACCCUCAGGGAUCAUCGAGUCCAGCUCCUGGUCCUGCUCAGGACACCCCAACAAUCCCACCCUGUGCCUGGGAUUGUUUUCCAAGCUCUUCUUGGACUCUGGCAGGUUUGUGCCAUGACCAAUUCCUUGGGGAACCUGCUCCAGUGCCCGACCACCCACUGGGGGAAGAAUAUUCUGCCAACAAAUGACCUUGACUGACCAAGAAGAGGCACUUUUGGCAUUUGAAAGAAAAGCACGAGGCAGUAAUUCCCGUGUCAGUGUUUUCACAACAGGACAAAGAAAUAAAGUUCCUUGGUGUCACAAGCUAACAGAUGUGCAGGAAUGUCCUGGGCUCCGCAGCGCUUUUCUCUGCAGCAGAAUCUGACUGACAGCACCACCACCAGGGAACAGCUGGGCCCAGGCACAUCACAUUCUGCUGGUCGGGAGAGAGGCUGAUUAGGCUAUGGAGUACCUAAUUGGACACCCCAAGCUUGGACUGUAGCAAUGGGGACUCAGAUGGUUGAGUGUCCUUUCAAUAAGAAGUGCUAAAAGAAGCUUCCAACCAGAUCUUACAAGGCCUUGUAUCAAGUACCAGUGAUACUGGGAAUAUUCUCAAGUAAAAUAAAGUCAGCUGGCAUGAAAAUCUAAUUUAUCUAAUUUCUCUUUUAUAAAACAUGCAGAUAUGGUUCUUGUGGACGUGGUUUAGUGGUGGGUUAAUGGCUGGACUUGAUGAUCUUAGAGUUAUUUUCCUUAAUGAUUUUAUGAUUUUCAGAUUUUUUUCCUUCACCUUGUAUAUUCUGAAUUGAUUUUAGUCACCUCUUGCAAGUAGUAUUUGCUGUUCUCCAGGGAAACCAGGGAUUCAGCAUACAAGUUUGGGAUACAGAAAUAAUGAAAAUUUGGGAAGUUCACAAUCUGUGAGUUAAAUAAUGUUGAAACUAUUGCGAAGCCUAACAAAUCAAAAAGUUCCUGAGGACUUGGUGAGUUGUUUUUUACAUCUGCACAGGUGUUGUCUGCAGGAUCCUUGUCAGAUUUGUUCUUCCCAAGGUCUGGAGUGAUGGAUGAGCACAUCCAGUGUCCAGCAGCAAAGUCUCCAGUGAAGUUUUGGGGCAAAGGAGCAGUGGUGCAUCCCCAAAACCUCUUACAGGAAGUUCACAUGAAGUUUCUGAACCUCCACUUUGCCCCCUGGGGAAAAGCAGCCCGGAAAUAAGAACUUGUGGGAAGAAGUUGAAGGAGUGGAAUGGAAAUUCCCACUUUCAUUCAUGCAUGACUGAGGAUGUGUUGUGGAGAAGGAGA